UUUUACAGAGUCAUUCAGUACAAAAACACAGUGAAUUAGGAAGAUGUGGCACAUGAAUGUUUCUGUUUUUCAGGUGGAAGUUCUGAGCAUUUCUCCUCUCAAAAGAGACCGGAGCCCACCAGUGAAGAGAGUUCAGAUGUAGAUGAAGAGAGCAAGGAAGCAAGACUGGCUUUGAGGAAAAGGCGAAAAACCAAAGUGGCCAAAGCAAAGGAGAUCCCCCGUGCGAAGGUCAAGAGGCCAUGGAGUGAAGCAGAGAAGACGGCAGUGCAAAGACGGCUGGGAAUUAUGUAGGAAGCAGGAA